rnacentral:rRNA from 1 species
UAAGGAAUAUUGGACAAUGGGCGAAAGCCUGAUCCAGCUAUCCCGCGUGCAGGAUGACGGCCCUAUGGGUUGUAAACUGCUUUUAGUAGGGAAGAAACCCCUCGAUUUAUCGGGGGCUGACGGUACCUACAGAAUAAGCACCGGCUAACUCCGUGCCAGCAGCCGCGGUAAUACGGAGGGUGCAAGCGUUAUCCGGAAUCACUGGGUUUAAAGGGUGCGUAGGUGGCUUGGUAAGUCAGUGGUGAAAGCCCACCGCUUAACGGUGGAAUUGCCAUUGAUACUGCCAGGCUUGAAUAAGGCUGAGGUCGGCGGAAUGUGUCAUGUAGCGGUGAAAUGCAUAGAUAUGACAUAGAACACCAAUUGCGAAGGCAGCUGGCUAGACCUUUAUUGACACUGAGGCACGAAAGCGUGGGGAGCGAACAGG